ensembl:lncRNA
UUGCUUCUUCUAGAUGCUGAGCCGCUGCCACACAUACCAGUUGUGGAGCUUUUUUCUGAUGAAGAAUCCGAAGCUGACAGUAUCCCAAUUCAAUUCCCUCCCAAAGUGAUUGACUGGUUAAAGAACAGUGUUGAGAAUGCCAUACCUCAGCACCGGCCAGGCUACUCGGAGCCUUCCUCGAGAAGGACAACCCCCUGUUCUGAAAAAGGUACAGCGGCAGAGUCACACCUGCUGGCUCACAGGCUAUUCUCCACUCCACAGGGCCUGAGCUUUAUUUGGGGAGUUUAUUCACCACCUCCGGAGUCCCUCACCAGCGCAAAUGACGAGGACACAAAAAACUCAAAUGUGGUGGGCUGGAUUAUUCAUGGUCUGGGCCGUAUGAUGCCGCAGCCGGCGUUGAAAGGAAGCGAUGAUUCCGGAGAGAAUGGUGGCAUUGUGGUACAAAAUGGGGGGAGAGCUCUGAGAGCCCCUUAAACAAAAGGAGAAAGAAGACUGAGGAACUGUCUGUAAAAAUCACAUGAUCUCACUUACAGAGCCACUUACAUCCCUUACGUUACAAUAGCAUUAGAAAAGACAGUAGUGCCCAUUUAUCAUUUUCAGAGAUGUUCAAGCUCGAAGGAGCAAUAAGGCAGCUUUACAUUGACUUUGAUGUUCUAAACAUGUACUCUAUUGUAUGGAGAAAAAUAUUUAUUUUUUCACGAGUUUGAUAUACUGUGAAUUGUGACAGUAGUUGUCAGAACUAUUUUAAUGAUAUAGUUUCAAAGCUUGAUUUUUAGAUUCAAAUGGGUUGUUUUCACUGCAGUGAUCAUCCUUGUAUACAUUUUAAAAUGUAAAAACUUCUAGUACUUGCACACUCUGUGCACUGCUUUAAUUGCACUACACUUUACUGUGUCUUUCCACGAUUAUACAUUUGAGAAUCUCUUAGCCAUAACAACCAAAGGAUGUGGCACAAAUCAAAAAAAUAUGUGUAUGAUAAAUGAUUAAUAUUUAGUUAUGUACAUCUUCUGACAAUUACAGGUGAGUAAUCAUACACAUUUGGACAUAAUUUGGAUUGCUG